AAAGGAAUAGACGGGGACUCGCACAAGCGGUGGUUCAUGAGGUUCAAUUCGACAGCAAACGAGGCACCUCACCAGGGCUUGACAUGCAGUCCUUAUGCUUUUUUUGAAAAGAAAAAGUUUUUACCGCAAGGUAAACGGACUGCACAGGUGCUGCAUGGUUGUCGUCAGCUCGUGCCGUGAGGCGUUCCCUUCAGUGGGGAAACGAGCGCAACCCUCGUUGUUUGUUUUUGUGUCAAACAAGACUACCCCGCCCUAAGCUUGCAAAAUUUAAAUUAUGAAAUUUUGUUGGUUUGGGGCGGGGUGGAAGCGAGGAUGACGCCAAAUCAGCAUGGCCCUUUGAUGUCCUGGGCGACACUCAUGAAACAAUGGUAUACACAACGGGUUGCUAAGCCGCGAGGCGGAGCUAAUCCCUAAAAAUAUACCUCAGUUCGGAUUGGAGUCUGAAACCCGACUCCAUGAAGCUGGAAUCGCUAGUAAACGCGUAUCAGCCAUGGCGCGUUGAAUACGUUCUCGAGUCCUGUACACACCGCCCGU
rnacentral:rRNA from 1 species